rnacentral:rRNA from 1 species
CUACGGAGGGUGCAAGCGUUACUCGGAAUCACUGGGCGUAAAGCGCGCGCAGGCGGGCUGAUAAGUUGGAUGUGAAAGCCUACGGCUCAACCGUAGAACUGCAUCCAAAACUGUCAGUCUAGAGUGUGGGAGAGGAAGAUGGAAUUAGUUGUGUAGGGGUAAAAUCCGUAGAGAUAACUAGGAAUACCAAAAGCGAAGGCAAUCUUCUGGAACACUACUGACGCUGAGGCGCGAAGGCGUGGGGAGCAAACAGGAUUAGAUACCCCAGUAGUCC